GCCUGGCUGGCUUAGUUGGUAGAGCGUGAGACUCUCGAUCUCAGGGUUGUGUGUUUGAGCCCCAUGUUGGGCA